CCUACGGGAGGCAGCAGUGGGGAAUAUUGCGCAAUGGGCGAAAGCCUGACGCAGCGACGCCGCGUGAGGGAUGAAGGUCUUCGGAUCGUAAACCUCUGUCAGCAGGGAAGAACGGUCACUGUGCUAAUCAGCAGUGAAUUGACGGUACCUGCAAAGGAAGCACCGGCUAACUCCGUGCCAGCAGCCGCGGUAAUACGGAGGGUGCGCGCGUUAAUCGGAAUUACUGGGCGUAAGGCGCUCGUAGGCGGUAUGUCAAGUCAAGGGUGAAAUCCCCGCGCUCAACGUGGGAACUGCCUUUGAAACUGGCAAAGUGGAGUGUGUGAGAGGAUAGUGGAAGUCCAGGGGUAGGAGUGAAAUCAGUAGAGAACUGGAGGAACAUCAGUGGCGAAGGCGACUAUCUGGCACAUAACUGACGCUGAGGAGCGAAAGCGUGGGUAGCAAACAGGAUUAGAUACCCGUGUAGUC
rnacentral:rRNA from 1 species